AUGUCGUCCAUGCCAUGCCUCGCGGUGGAGCACCGGUGCACCGGCACCAACAAGUCCACGACCACCGUGUUCAGCGUCGCCGGGAACGGGAAGGAGCCCAUCACCGGUGGCCUGGACUCCGACGAGCUCACCGACAAGGCCUUCUGCCCCACUCCGCAGGGGUGGCUAAUAGUCCGGGACCGUCUCGCCACCGUCGACACCUACCUGCUGGACCACCACAGCCAUGAAAAGAUCAACUUGCCGCCGCUGGCGAUCGACCAGGACCUCCUGAUAAAUUGCAGCUGCCUACUCUCCGACGCGCCCACGGCCCCGGGCUGCGUCGUGCUCAUCGUCGAGCCUGACGCGCCCAUCAUCCGGUACCAUCGCAUCGGAGUAGACGACGGCUGGACCAAGCACGAGUACGACCUCGGCACCCAGGGAGACGAGAUCGGCGGGUUCGAGAAGAUCCCCAUGUGCGAGACCGUGGCGUGCCGGGGCAAGUUCUAUUUCCUCAGCUCGCCCACCGAGCUCGGCGUGCUGGAGCUCUCCCCUGCAGCUGCAGGGCCGGCGUUCAGCUCCAUCGCCGUGGACGGUGAGAGCUACAACUGCGGAGAAACAGCGAAGGCCUUCUUGGUGGAGUCCGAGGAGGAGCUGUACAUGGUUAGGCUGCUGCGCAGUCGAGACUUCAACGAAGCCAACGUCUACAAGAUGGAUUUCUCCGAGCAGCAAUGGCGCCACGUCCGCGAUCUCGGCGGCCGCGCCUUCUUUGUCGCUCCGUUGAACUUCGGCGUGUCGUGCUUGGCUGGGGAUCAGUACGGGGUUCAGAAGAACUGUGUCUACUCCCUGGUUAAGUUGUCUGACAAAUCUUUCAACAUGUUCAACGUGGAGGACGGGGCAACAGAGCGGCGCGACAUCGGAGAAGCUUACGUUUCCGUUGAAAAACAUGGGAUCAACCUCCAACAUCCUAUCCUUGGAACACAGCACAGAAUGCUAUGGAUGGUUCCAACCAGCCUCUAA
rnacentral:rRNA from 1 species